GCUAUUGUAGUUUAAUUGUAGAAUAUGUAACUUGUAAUUACAUGGAUAGAAUAGCU
rnacentral:tRNA from 1 species